AUUGAACGCUGGCGGCAGGCCUAACACAUGCAAGUCGAACGAGUGGCGGACGGGUGAGUAAUGUCUGGGAAACUGCCUGAUGGCGGGGGAUAACUACUGGAAACGGUAGCUAAUACCGCAUACCAUCGGAUGUGCCCAGAUGGGAUUAGCUAGUAGGUGGGGUAAAGGCUCACCUAGGCGACGAUCCCUAGCUGGUCUGAGAGGAGGACCAGCCACACUGGAACGGAGACACGGUCCAGACUCCUACGGGGGGCAGCAGUGGGGAAUAUUGCACAAUGGGCGCAAGCCUGAUGCAGCCAUGCCGCGGGUGUGAAGAAGGCCUUCGGGUUGUAAAGUACUUUCAGCGGGGAGGCGUUACUCGCAGAAGAAGCACCGGCUAACUCCGUGCCAGCAGCCGCGGUAAUAC
rnacentral:rRNA from 1 species